GCGCGAGCGCCAGGGUGCCGGGCCGCUGCUCUUCCGCGCACGCGCGGCCGGGGCUGGGGUCGGGACCGAGCCGGGGGC
rnacentral:miRNA from 1 species